UUAAGUUCAGCGGGUAUCCCUACCUGAUCCGAGGUCAACCUGAAAAAAAUUGGGGGUUGCUGGCGAGCACACACCCGGACCUCCAGAGCGAGAAGAAUUACUACGCUCGGGGUGACAACGAGCCCGCCACUGUUUCAGGGCCUGCGGCAGCCGCAGGGCCCCAACACAAGCCUAGGGCUUGAUGGUUGAAAUGACGCUCG
rnacentral:misc_RNA from 1 species